AAUAUGGCUGCUGAAAUUAAUAUGAUAAUUUUGGCAUGGGACUUAUGUCUGCUAGAAUUACCAUAUUAAUUUCAGCAGCCAUAUUAA
rfam:Dictyostelium discoideum AX4 chromosome 2, whole genome shotgun sequence.